CUACGAAGGCGGCUAGCGUUGUUCGGAAUCACUGGGCGUAAAGCGCGCGUAGGUGGAUCAAUUAGUUGAGGGUGAAAUCCCGGGGCUCAACCUCGGAACUGCCUUCAAUACUGUUGAUCUUGAGACCGAGAGAGGUGAGUGGAAUUCCUAGUGUAGAGGUGAAAUUCGUAGAUAUUAGGAAGAACACCAGUGGCGAAGGCGGCUCACUGGCUCGGUACUGACGCUGAGGUGCGAAAGCGUGGGGAGCAAACAGGAUUAGAAACCCUAGUAGUCC
rnacentral:rRNA from 1 species